ACAAUAUUUUCCCUCCAAUUUAUGCUAAUAUACACAAUUAUAUUUUUUAACUAUACCCAUUAAUGUACCUAUAUUUAUUUGUUGUUUUUUGAUUUUUUUGAGCCAUCUGCUUGUACGUGUUACACCGGCGUUUUGUAUUGGUCAUCUGUGUGUCAGUUAAGUGUCACUGGUUACCUAUCUGGUAUUUGAAUAGUUUUUUCAAGUUAAAAAUAUAUGACUUCAAAGAGCAUCAUCAAGCUUUCAUGCAUCAUAAAUUUUUUUGAUGACAAAAAAAUAUUUUCGAAGGAAGAAAAUUCAUUUGAAUGUGGUUAUGUCACGAGCUUCAAUCAUAUACCUGAUAUUGGUAUAAUUAGUGGUCAAGUGCAUGCUAGUAUGAAAAAUAAAUUGUACGAUAUUAAGAUAUUCUUCAAAGACAAGAAUAUUGAUCAUGCCAGUUGCACAUGUUCAACAGGUUUGACAAAAUGUCAUCAUAUGGUUUCACUUCUUUUACAUGGGCAUACAAAUAUAUCAGUGACUGAUAGGUACAGCCUGCAGCUGGUCAAAAAAAUGUGCGAAAGAAAAUGAAGAACUUGCAGAAAGGUGUAAUCAAAAGCACCUUCUGGAUUUCUGAUUUUUAAAAUCAAAAACAUAAAUGAUUAAUGACUAAUGUAACAUAUAUUUUAUGUUUGUAUAUAUAUAA
rnacentral:misc_RNA from 1 species